rnacentral:misc_RNA from 1 species
ACGAUGCGCCAGCUCAACGGAACGAGUGUUUCGGCUCAUCGCUUCACCAGUCACCACCCCGACAGAGACCGCCACCGUCAAGCAUGUUGGGUGCACCGAGUCCGGCAGCAGGCGAAUUCAGACGCCGUCUUGCACAGCUUCCGGGGGUGAAGGGCGGACUAGGCAGCAGAGACACUAACGGGCCAAAGAUCCUGGCAGCCCUCUCCGCGCCGAGGGGCAGCACCAUCCGCGAGAACCCUCAAAGAGCUCUGAAGGCAGGGCUGCCCGUCGAGUGGCUGAUAGAGGGACAAGACAAUGAGAUUGCUCACAGGGGUGGAAGCUUGCCACGCGGGAAGACGACACGCCACGGGGCUGCCUUUUCCUCUACCAGAGUGCAUGCCAACGCAGCUGUGCUACACAUGCACACGGCCGGCAGCUUCUCGGUUUGAAUGUCUUGAUCGUGUGCAUACGAUGCUCUAGACGAGCAUGCACCCAGCCGGCACACUGUCGCAAGGACCCUUCGGCUGUAGACGAGAGAGCGAUCCUUCGUUAUCAGAUUCAGGGGGGUCCCUCACACUCCCACGUAGCUGUGCCGGGCCGCGGCACUCGAGCAAGGCCGCGCGGGAGGAGCUGACUGCGUAGGUUCGAGGCCUCACCACAACAGUGGAAGGACACGAGUCGAGCAAGAAGCGGAUUAGCGGACUGGUGUGCGAGUGCGCCGGAGAGAGCGCCAGCGUGCCGCUCGGCAACGCGCGACCAUCGGUAGGGAGCGCACGUGCUUCUCCUCUACCGCAGCACCAGCACGGUGAGUGGAGGAGAGACAAAAAGGGGCAAAUGCCGCACCACGCGGCCUCCGAUAUGGGGCUUAUUUGCGACGGGAAAGGCGUGCACGCACAUGUUUCCAAGAAGUCACGUGUGGUGGUAAUCCAAACGGUUACCUUUGUGUUUGCUGUAUAUCUUGUGGGAUGGCCUCCGGAGGAAGACGUCGCGCCUUGUCGAAUAUACCUGGGCGGCUCAAAGUCGCAGGCGAUGAGUGCGCACUGAAUCUCCCACCUGGAAGCGUAACAGCCUCUUCGCGCGUCGACGGCGCGAGGAGUGAGCUGCACUCUAUCGGUGUUCGCUUCCUAUGCCUUUAGCUCACUUGCCCGCUUUCCAUCCUUUCUCUCGCUUCUCGCUGUGCUGCGCUGACACGCGCAG